CAGACAGGGUCACAGACGGCACCCGACGCUGCAAAGAGCGGAGCGGCUGGGGGCACCCCUUUUACAGAUACAAGCCAUCACACCCUCCUGGAUCACAAAGUAUGUAACUGCUUCUAAGGUAAGAGAAACAGCAGAGAAAGUUCAGUGAAUGAGGUUGGAAGCCUAAUAGAAAAGAGGUGAAACCCGUCUAUAGGGCCAUUCACCCAGAAUGUGAAACCAGAACAAAGAGUGGCCCAGAGGGACAAGAGAUCUAUAUCCACAAAGCAAAGCGAGCAACGCUCUGCAGAAACCGCUUUCACCUGAAGAUUAUUUGCACGCAAACUCCCAGUUUGCAGACCCUCUUUAAAGAAAAUGCAGUGUGAUUCCGGACCAGAAAGUACAAAAAUACCUUACCUUGAUCACGUGAAACUAAAUGAU